GACGAACGCUGGCGGCGUGCUUAACACAUGCAAGUCGAACGAAGUGGCGAACGGGUGAGUAACGCGUAAUCAACCUGACAUUCAGAGGGGGACAACAGUUGGAAACGAAUGCUAAUACCGCAUACAGAAGGAGGGGAUUGCGUAUGAUUAGCUAGUUGGAGGGGUAACGGCCCACCAAGGAGCGUAUCAGUAGCCGGUCUGAGAGGAUGAACGGCCACAUUGGGACUGAGACACGGCCCAGACUCCUACGGGAGGCAGCAGUGGGGAAUCUUCCGCAAUGGACGAAAGUCUGACGGAGCAACGCCGCGGGAGUGAUGACGGCCUUCGGGUUGUAAAGCUCUGUUAAUCGGGACGCGGUACCGGAAUAGAAAGCCACGGCUAACUACGUGCCAGCAGCCGCGGUAAGAC
rnacentral:rRNA from 1 species